AGAAGUGAAACAAGAGAUGAAGGAAUGUUGCUUGAAAGAAGGAACUCUCAAAGUUCCUCAGCCCUAAUCUAACACAAAUUGCACUUAGGGUUACUGGGGGGAGGGUGCGGCCGGGAGGGUUCAAUUGUCCAGCAAGGGCAACACGGGUUAAGUGAAAGGUAGAGACAGGACCUCCACUACACCCCGGGACUCUCACCCCCGAGUAGUAGUGGAAGCCCUACCGCCCACUCCCACCCCCUACAACAGCAGACUGAGAGGCCGGCAAGAGGUCCGAGCUGGGAAGUCCUGCGCGCCGCCCCCGUCACUCAGCCGGCGGCGCCAUCCGAGCAGAGCAGCUGGGGGAGAGGAGACGUCCCCUCGCCCCGACUGGUGACCCGGGCAGGGGGCGCCCCCUGCCCUGAAGUCCCCGCGUCUAAGUCCGCCGGCCGCUCCGCCAGUCCCGGUGAAAAGCAGGGAAGUUGUGUGUGCUGGGAGGGGGGGUCCGUCGGCUCUCCCAGGGAAGCCUGGCGGGGCCCGGGAACUCAGCGGCUUCACCUCGAGGGGACUCCCGUCUAGAGUCUCGUGGCGUCCGAGGCAGAGUACAGCGGCUCCCCAAGUCCGCAGGCCGGGGGCGGGAUCAGCGCGGGGCUGGGGGUCAACGAGCACUUCCUCCUCCCAGCCGGGGAUCCGGGGCUUCUCCAGGGAUUCUCCGUGGCGAGGAUUCCGGGUGGGGGUGGGGAUCCCGCGCGGUUCCGCCCCCGCCAGGCCAGGGGCAGCUGGCGACUCGCUCGGUCUCUGGUGGUACGCGCCACGGCCCCCCCACCCCAGCUCUGCGCGCCCCCUCCCCUCCGGGCACCACCCCCUUUCCACCGCCCCGCCCCGUCCAGGCACCGCCCCUGGCUUAACCCAUUCCCGGCGCGUCCGGCUGCAGCGGGAGAAACGCAGGGAACCGAGAGGGAGAGGCGGCAUGUGGACAGGCCGGGCCUCAUUUGCCUAAUGCAAUGCGGCUGAACUCUCGCUGAACUCGCCUGGCGGCGCCUCACCUCCGAGUGACCCACCCACCGCUGCCCGUGACAUCACCCGCUCGCCAGCCCGCCCGCGGGGCUCGCCCGCCAGCCCCCUGCCCGGCCGAACCGGGCCACCUCCCCCGGAGACGCGGAGAGCGGCGGCAGGAGGCGUAGGGCCGGGUCGCGCGGGGCCAAGUGUUUGGCACCCGGGUGUGACAUUGUGCAGCUCGGACGCUGUGUCGGAAUGAGACACCGGCUUGUGUCAUUGUCUGUGACAUCAUGUGUGACUCCGGCCGCCGGAACCCGACGCGGCAGCGCGGGUGCUGUUGGCACAAACACAGGCAGAGGGGGCCCUCCUCCCCACGCUCUGCGUGCUUCCGGCGAGCAAAGCCCCGCCCAAGGUGUCUCCUAGCUGGGGAACCAGUACCGGCCCCUGGUGCACUGUCCAGCUCUGGAGAGAUAAAAGGAAGAGCUGGUGCCUUCCAGUGGACUACUUCAUCCUAGAAGCCCUCGGGAUGCACGUUUCACUGGAAGAAAGGCCUAGCUUGGGUAGGUCCCUAGAAAGAGGGGAUACCCCUGGAGGAGGGGGUAUCCUAUUACCCCCACUCUCUAAAAGGAAGGAUGGAAAUGUACAUGCUACCCAAGGACAUUCUUCUAGAAGAAGCCUGGCUCUUUAUAUAUGUUGUCAUUUUAUCCUCACAGCAACUCCAAGAGAUGUUUUACAAAUAAAACAGGUCUCAGCAAGGCUAUGUGGGUUGUCCAAGAUCACAUUACUAAUAAUAAAGAGUAGAGCAGGUAUUUG
rnacentral:lncRNA from 10 species